CUGCACAGGUCCACUGACCAGAGAAGACGACUAAUUAGGCAAGAGAUGGAAAACAUCUGAGUGGAUGGACCGAGCCUGUGCGGGAGAAUCCUCUGGCUGGAAGUGGUCAUAAGGAUGUGAGAAAUUUAGGUGGGCGGCAUCUUCACCUAAGUGGAGGACGGUCCUCCAGCUGGAGGUGGUGCUGUGUUGCAUAGUGACGUAGAUAAGUUACACGAAGG